CUGUAGCUCAGUUGGUUAGAGCUCGACAACUGUCUCUCUGUAGCUCAGUUGGUUAGAGCUCGACAACUGUCUCUCUGUAGCUCAGUUAUUUGUCGCAACUGCUUUUGGUUAAGUGGAAUAAAUGUAUAAAAAUUCCACUGGAAAUUUCCAUCUACGAAUUCUUUCAACAACAAAUGAAAGUGGAUCAUCUUUGACGUGGGCUGGCUCCCUCCCCCUUAAGUUAUCGGCUUUUUUUACUUGUUAAUAGUGGGGUUUUUACCAUGAUCAAGCGGAACCAUUUAGUUAUUUAAUUUAAUUAGUUUUAAGUGGAAUAAAUGUAUAAAAAUUCCACUGGAAAUUUCCAUCUACGAAUUCUUUCAACAACAAAUGAAAGUGGAUCAUCUUUGACGUGGGCUGGCUCCCUCCCCCUUAAGUUAUCGGCUUUUUUUACUUGUUAAUAGUGGGGUUUUUACCAUGAUCAAGCGGAACCAUUUAGUUAUUUAAUUUAAUUAGUUUUAAGUGGAAUAAAUGUAUAAAAAUUCCACUGGAAAUUUCCAUCUACGAAUUCUUUCAACAACAAAUGAAAGUGGAUCAUCUUUGACGUGGGCUGGCUCCCUCCCCCUUAAGUUAUCGGCUUUUUUUACUUGUUAAUAGUGGGGUUUUUACCAUGAUCAAGCGGAACCAUUUAGUUAUUUAAUUUAAUUAGUUUUAAGUGGAAUAAAUGUAUAAAAAUUCCACUGGAAAUUUCCAUCUACGAAUUCUUUCAACAACAAAUGAAAGUGGAUCAUCUUUGACGUGGGCUGGCUCCCUCCCCCUUAAGUUAUCGGCUUUUUUUACUUGUUAAUAGUGGGGUUUUUACCAUGAUCAAGCGGAACCAUUUAGUUAUUUAAUUUAAUUAGUUUUAAGUGGAAUAAAUGUAUAAAAAUUCCACUGGAAAUUUCCAUCUACGAAUUCUUUCAACAACAAAUGAAAGUGGAUCAUCUUUGACGUGGGCUGGCUCCCUCCCCCUUAAGUUAUCGGCUUUUUUUACUUGUUAAUAGUGGGUUUUUUACCAUGAUCAAGCGGAACCAUUUAGUUAUUUAAUUUAAUUAGUUUCAUAUCCGCAAAUUUGAGGUAUAUUUACACAUGAUUGUGGAAAAGACGCUAUUUUGAGUGUGAUUUUAAUAACAUGUUGGAAUGUGUGUUUGGUAAACUGAAAUGCGUUGCUAGGAAGUUAAAAUGUUUGUGCAUUGUAUAUCUCGCCAUUUCUUUCAUUGUCAGCUAAAGCGCUGUUGUGCUACAAGACAAAGGCACUGACGUCAAAGCAAAGCAAUUAUCUGUCUACAUAUUUAUGAAAAAAAAAUAAAAAAUAUUCAGAAGAAAUCAAUGUAUAAUGAGGUGUUGUAGCCAACAUAUACAAAAUUAUCUUGAUUUACAUAAACCUUUUCCGCGAAUUUCUCGGUUAAAAUCACUUCUUUUUAAAAAAUUGUCAAAAAAAAAUCGGGAAGAGAAACCGACGAAAGGGCCUUCGCUCGAAACGUCGCUUGUAUUUUUCAGGAAAUUGUAUCCCAAACGCAGCUUUCUUAUCAUUGGCCCUGCCUGCAGUGGCACAAACCCUUCGAGAUUUAAUCUACUUAUUACUUAACCCAUUGAGUGGCAGCACUCUCCACUUGACGAGUAAAAUCGUCUGGCGUUAGACAGAGUAAAAUACUAAAGUAGGGCGCAUCGGGGUGCAUUGCCACUUACAGUCGUGCCAAUAGAAGCGUUCCGAAAAAUGUUGACCAGUUCAUUUCCUAACUUCGAGGAGUUCCUCUGAACAAUUCCUCAACAAUUUGAUAAGUUCCUUAAAAAGUUCUUAACUUCCUGUUUCAUUGACCAAUCAGAUUGCCCAAAAAGAAAAUAUAAAAUUUGAUUGGUCAAUGAAACCGGAAAUUGGGAACUUUUUAAAGAAAUUUUCAAAAUUUUAAGGAAUUGUUCAGAGGUGUUCCUUCAAGUUAGGAAAUGAACUGGGCAACAUUUUUCGGAACGCUUCUAUUGGCACGACUGUAAGGGGUUAAAGUAUAUAGAGUUGUGUGUCCGUUGUUUCCAUACUCUUUUAUACAGCCAAUAGACCUUUCCCGUUAUGAGUGAAAUUUUGAUCUAGAUAUGCCUGGACAAAAAUUUCAUCACAGCUUGAAAGAGCAUCACAAAAUUAGUAAUAUUCCGA